rnacentral:rRNA from 1 species
CAUGCAAGUCGAGCGGAAACGAGAAGUACUUGUACUUCGGCGUCGAGCGGCGGACGGGUGAGUAAUGCUUGGGAAUAUGCCUUAUGGUGGGGGACAACAGUUGGAAACGACUGCUAAUACCGCAUAAUGUCUACGGACCAAAGCGGGGGACCUUCGGGCCUCGUGCCAUUUGAUUAGCCCAAGUGAGAUUAGCUAGUUGGUGGGGUAAUGGCCUACCAAGGCGACGAUCUCUAGCUGGUCUGAGAGGAUGAUCAGCCACACUGGGACUGAGACACGGCCCAGACUCCUACGGGAGGCAGCAGUGGGGAAUAUUGCACAAUGGGCGAAAGCCUGAUGCAGCCAUGCCGCGUGUGUGAAGAAGGCCUUCGGGUUGUAAAGCACUUUCAGUUGUGAGGAAAGGGUGUUGGUUAAUACCUAACAUCUGUGACGUUAGCAACAGAAGAAGCACCGGCUAACUCCGUGCCAGCAGCCGCGGUAAUACGGAGGGUGCGAGCGUUAAUCGGAAUUACUGGGCGUAAAGCGUGCGUAGGCGGUUUGUUAAGCAAGAUGUGAAAGCCCCGGGCUCAACCUGGGAACUGCAUUUUGAACCGGCAGGCUAGA